rnacentral:rRNA from 1 species
GCCAAAAAUUUAGUCCUAAUUUUUUUCAUGCACUAACCCCCCGAUUUUAACCAAGCAAAACAUUUUACCUGUUUAGUAAAGGCGAUUAAAAAAUAUUUAGGAACUUAACAAAAGUACCGCAAGGGAAAAAUGAAAUAGAAAUGAAACAAACAUUAAGCGUAAUAAAGCAGAGCCUCAAUCUCGUACCUUUUGCAUCAUGGUUUAGCUAGUCUAAUCAAGCAAAAAGAAUUUAAGUUUGACUUCCCGAAACCAGGUGAGCUACUUCAAAACAGCCUACUAGGGCGAACCCGUCUCUGUUGCAAAAGAGUGGGAAGAUUUUCAAGUAGAGGUGAUAAACCUACCGAGCCUGGAGAUAGCUGGUUAUUUAAGAAAAGGAUUUUAGUCCUAUCUUAAGUUUUUAAUAAAACAUAAUACCCCCUUAAACUUAAGAACUAUUCAAAUAAGGUACAGCCUAUUUGAAACAGGGAACAACCUAAGACACAGGGUAACCGUAACGGCAUGUGUUCAAGUGGGCCUAAAAGCAGCCAACUUUUAAAAAGCGUUAAAGCUUCAUCACUUAGCCUCACAAAUUCAAACAUUAAAGUAGAACCCUUACUUAGUAUUAAAUAACUCUAUACCCCUAUAGAAAUUACUAUGCUAAAACUAGUAAUAAGAAGAAGACCUUCUCCUAAAUGUAAGCGUAAGCCAGCAAGAACAAAUCACUGGCAUCUAACGUUAAUGACCUUAAAGCAGCAACUCACCUAGAAAACCCUGUUUUUACCAACGUUAACCUUACACAAGAACAUUUCAGGAAAGAUUAAAAGAGUCGGAAGGAACUCGGCAAAUUUUGACCCCGCCUGUUUACCAAAAACAUCGCCUCCUGAAAAAAAUAGGAGGUCCAGCCUGCCCAGUGACCAAGUUAAACGGCCGCGGUACCCUAACCGUGCGAAGGUAGCGCAAUCACUUGUUCUUUAAAUGAGGACUAGUAUGAACGGCAUCACGAGGGUCUCACUGUCUCCCCCCUCUAAUCAGUGAAACUGAUCUCCCCGUGAAGAAGCGGGGAUAAAUAUAUAAGACGAGAAGACCCCAUGGAGCUUUAAACUCAAUUUCAACUACCAUAAAUAAACCAUAAAAAAUAGGUGGCCAUGACUAUUAGUUUUCGGUUGGGGUGACCACGGAGCAAAACAUAACCUCCACGACGAAUGACUCUCUACCUCUAAUCAUAGAGUGACGACUCAAAGAAUCAACAAAUUGACCCAUUUGACCCAAAUUUUUGAUCAACGAACCAAGUUACCCUGGGGAUAACAGCGCAAUCCAUUUCAAGAGCCCCUAUCGACAAAUGGGUUUACGACCUCGAUGUUGGAUCAGGGUAUCCUAGUGGUGCAGCCGCUACUAAAGGUUCGUUUGUUCAACGAUUAAAACCCU